rnacentral:tRNA from 1 species
GUGGGGUUAUUGCUCAGUGGUAGAGCACUUGCCUCGCAUGAGUGAGGUACUGGGUUCAAUCCUCAGCACCACA